rnacentral:rRNA from 1 species
UACAGAGGUCCCAAGCGUUGUUCGGAUUCACUGGGCGUAAAGGGUGCGUAGGCGGUCGGGUAAGUCUGAUGUGAAAUCUCACAGCUUAACUGUGAAACUGCAUUGGAUACUAUUCGGCUUGAGAGUUGGAGGGGGGACUGGAAUUCUUGGUGUAGCAGUGAAAUGCGUAGAUAUCAAGAGGAACACCAGUGGCGAAGGCGGCUGUCAUGGUCCGGUUCUGACGCUGAGGCGCGAAAGCGUGGGGAGCAAACAGG